GUACUGUAUCCAUCCAUCUCUCUAUUUGGAACAUUGAACUGUGCCAUUUAUGUCUUCGAAUCCUGUAUUCAGUUGAUGCUACCACCAUUACGACAGACAUUAGCAGAAGCAGAACAAAGUUUGCAAUUUAAAGCAAACGGUGCACCUUUUAUUACCGUUAUUUGUAUUUUGACUUCUGAUGACUCCUUUCGUAAGAUGAUACUGAUAAUGCACCUCUGCAGUGUCAGUCGUGGGUGAAUCGAACAAUUCCACAUCUACAGUAAUUAACUUUAGCAGUGAUGAUGGAAGACAACCGGAAAGUGACACGCAAUGCAGGACAAAAAUAUACAAUUGACAGCAGUGCACAGAACAUGACAGUAGUACAUAGUACCAACAUUUACUACCCGGCAUGCAGCAUAUUAGUGCAACGAG
rnacentral:sRNA from 1 species